rnacentral:rRNA from 1 species
UACAGAGGUCUCAAGCGUUGUUCGGAUUCAUUGGGCGUAAAGGGUGCGUAGGUGGCGUCGUAAGUCAGGCGUGAAAUUUCGGAGCUUAACUCCGAAACUGCAUUUGAUACUGCGGUGCUUGAGGACUGGAGAGGAGACUGGAAUUUACGGUGUAGCAGUGAAAUGCGUAGAUAUCGUAAGGAAGACCAGUGGCGAAGGCGGGUCUCUGGACAGUUCCUGACACUGAGACACGAAGGCCAGGGGAGCAAACGGG